CGUUCAGUAUAGCACAUACCACAUGUGCCAAAUCCGGAAUAUAUAUCAAAGUCCGCAAAUAGUUGAUAUUUUCGGGGAUAAAAAACAUUUCGGAAAGCCGUGAAUCUACUAAACAAUUUCGAAAUGUUCGCAAACAAGGAAACUCGAGUUGUUACACUCAACCAAAUGACAAACUACCCCUUUUCGCAUCGAAGUAUUGCUUGAACUGCAUAUACCGACCGUUCAUUUGUGCUUGAUGUUGUCUACAAAACAUUUACUUUUCUUUUAUUUAUUCCAAGUGUUAUCAGGGAUUGUUUGCAUUCACAAUUUUCCUCUGCAAGAUAGUGAUGAGUAGUAGAUGAGUUAUUUUUCUCAAAAUAUUAAUACAUUGUAAAAACA